GACAAACGCUGGCGGUAUGCCUAACACAUGCAAGUCGAACGGACAGAACAGGGAAGCUUUUCGGAGUGGAACUGGAAAGUUAGUGGCGGAUGGGUGAGUAACGCGUGGACAACCUACCUUGUAAAGGGGAAUGACCUCGAGAAAUCGAAGCUAAUACCCCAUAAUAACCUUGCUUCGCAUGAAGUAAGGAGGAAAGGCGGCCUUAGCGCUGUCGAUACAAGAUGGGUCCGCGUCUGAUUAGCUAGUUGGUGAGGUAAAGGCUCACCAAGGCGACGAUCAGUAGCCGGCCUGAGAGGGUGAACGGCCACAUUGGGACUGAGACACGGCCCAAACUCCUACGGGAGGCAGCAGUGGGGAAUCUUCCGCAAUGGGCGAAAGCCUGACGGAGCAAUGCCGCGUGAGUGAAGAAGGCCUUCGGGUUGUAAAACUCUGUCCUUAUCGAAGAGAGAGUGUUGUAGUAACUGACAAUACUAGGACGGUAGAUGAGGAGGAAGCCCCGGCUAACUAUGUG
rnacentral:rRNA from 1 species